UACGAAGGGGGGCGAGCGUUGUUCGGAUUUACUGGGCGUAAAGGGCGCGCAGGCGGCCAUUCAAGUCAGGCGUGAAAGCCCCGGGCUUAACCUGGGAGGUGCGUCUGGGACUGGGUGGCUGGAGAUCGGGAGAGGAGAGUGGAAUUCCCAGUGUAGAGGUGAAAUUCGUAGAUAUCAGAAAGAACACCAGUGGCGAAGGCGAUCCUCUGGUCCAUUAUUGACGCUAAAGCACGAAAGCGUGGGGAGCAAACAGG
rnacentral:rRNA from 1 species